rnacentral:rRNA from 1 species
UGGCGACCGGCGCACGGGUGAGUAACACGUAUCCAACCUGCCGAUAACUCGGGGAUAGCCUUUCGAAAGAAAGAUUAAUAUCCGAUAGCAUAUCAAGAUCGCAUGAUCUUGAUAUUAAAGAAUUUCGGUUAUCGAUGGGGAUGCGUUCCAUUAGUUAGUUGGCGGGGUAACGGCCCACCAGGACGACGAUGGAUAGGGGUUCUGAGAGGAAGGUCCCCCACAUUGGAACUGAGACACGGUCCAAACUCCUACGGGAGGCAGCAG